rnacentral:tRNA from 1 species
GUAGGAGUACCCAAGAGGUUCAAGGGAGCGGUCUUGAAAAUCGCCAGCACAGGUGACUGUGGCGUGGGUUCGAAUCCCACCUUCUACG